AGAGAAUAGAUACCCGGGUAGUCCACGCAGUAAACGAUGAGUGCUAGUCAUUGGGGUCAUAGAUCUCGGUGGCGAAAGCUAACGCGUUAAGCACUCCGCCUGGGGAGUACGGCCGCAAGGCUAAAACUCAAAGGAAUUGACGGGGACCCGCACAAGCAGUGGAGCAUGUGGUUUAAUUCGAUGCUACGCGAAAAACCUUACCAGCUCUUGUAUCCUCACUAUGAUUCUCAGAAAUGAGUUUCUUCACUUCGGGUGGGUGAGAGACAGGUGUUGCAUGGCUGUCGUCAGCUCGUGUCGUGAGAUGUUUA
rnacentral:rRNA from 1 species